rnacentral:rRNA from 1 species
CAGUCGCCGCGGUAAUACGUAGGGUGCGAGCGUUAAUCGGAAUUACUGGGCGUAAAGCGGGCGCAGACGGUUACUUAAGCAGGAUGUGAAAUCCCCGGGCUCAACCUGGGAACUGCGUUCUGAACUGGGUGACUAGAGUGUGUCAGAGGGAGGUAGAAUUCCACGUGUAGCAGUGAAGUGCGUAGAGAUGUGGAGGAAUACCGAUGGCGAAGGCAGCCUCCUGGGAUAACACUGACGUUCAUGCCCGAAAGCGUGGGUAGCAAACAGGAUUAGAGACCCGGGUAGUCCCUGUCUCUUAUAC